ensembl:rRNA 5S_rRNA 5S ribosomal RNA
CAAAAAGCGCAAUUUUUUGGUGUGAACACAACAAGACCAGUUACUCACUGAAGCUAAGCAGGGCUGAGCCUGGUUAGUACCUGGAUAGGAGACCACACGGGAAAACUAGGUUACUUUUGGA